UACGUAGGGGGCAAGCGUUGUCCGGAUUUACUGGGCGUAAAGCGCCUGUAGGCGGACAUUUAAGCGGUGCCUGAAAGCCCCCGGCUCAACCGGGGAGGGCGGUGCCGAACUGGACUUCUUGAGGGCGAUAGAGGAAGGUGGAAUUCCGGGUGUAGCGGUGAAAUGCGUAGAGAUCCGGAGGAACACCAGAGGCGAAGGCGGUUACCUGGACAGUUACUGACGCUCAGGCACGAAAGCAUGGGGAGCAAAAGGG
rnacentral:rRNA from 1 species